UCCCGGUCGGACGGAAGUGAGGCUGUUCGCUCAGGCUCGCACAGGCGCGCCGCUUUCCGCCGCUCCGCUGUCCCGCAGGCUGACAAGCCGGGAAGUGGCGGCUCCCAUUUCCAGGCCGCCGCCAUUUUCCCCGCCCCAUUCCCCAGUGCCUCCCUCACUUGUUUCCCGCCUUCUCCCUCCUCUGAAGCGAAAGUACAGCGGUUGACUACGCCUCAGACAGGCUCGAGCUUGGUGACGUAAAUGUCUAUUUUGCAUAGAGACUCCCAGAGGUCUCUGCGGCGAUCUGAUCGUUUUAAGUGGCAUGAAGGCGCUGAACCCCUCAACCCUGCUGCAUUUAGCUGGCACUGCUGGGUGCCUGAGAGAGUGUUCCUCAGAGGGGCUCGUACCCGACUUGCCGCCACUGCAUACUAGCCUUCCCCCUAACCCGACAGAUUAUGGCCCGUCGAGGGGCUGCGGCGCCGACUGACUUAGUGUUAGCUUUGCGCAGUGGCAGUAUCGUAGCCAAUGAGGUUAAUCCGAGGCGCGAUUAUUGCUAAUUGAAAACUUUUCCCAAUACCCCGCCAUGACGACUUGAAAUAUAGUCGGCAUUGGCAAUUUUUGACAGUCUCUACGGAGACUGAAUGUAAUUGGUUAACAAUAGAUAUAAAUUAAUUAUUGUGUCUUUGUUAUUCAUGUACUUACUUCACGGGAUUAUUUGUGUGCUCUUUAGUUAUUUUUAAAUAUGGUGUUUUUCUUGUUCCUACUUUGAAUAUUUUGUUUGAGCAGCUUUUGUGGGUUUUUGUAUUGUUUUCUGUUUCUGUACUACUUUCAUAAAGUCUUGUAAAUUUUCAGGUGCAUGAAGUUUGUUGCAUCUCUAAGUGAUAGGAUGUGUAUGUUUUAUUACUUUUAUUUUUUGCUGCUGUGUAUUCGUGUUAAUGAAACGUUUUAAUGAAUUGAGAGAAACGCUAACAAUUUUAAAUAAAUCUCAUUUUGUUUUUCCCCCAGUGAAAGGAGAAUGUGGCCUGAAAAUUAAAGACUAACACAGCUACCUCUCUGAUAUAUAUGAAAUAAAAUCAGGAAGAGGCUAAUACAGCCAGCAGGGAAAAGGCUGAGAUUUCUUUUACCAGAGGAUUGAGAAUGAAGAAUUGGAGGUGACACACAAGACCCUUCUGGAGAGUUCAGAGUAAGAUACAGAACACAGCAUACACCAAGAAAGAUGCCUGUCACUCGUUCCUGGGAAGCAAGAUGUAGAUUCCAAGGAACCCGUGUGGCAGAACUGGGAGAGAAAGACAUGAUUCCUGUGAAUAGAGGACUUCCAAAUUACCAACUGCAACAAUCCACAGUUGUGUGUAUCUAUGCCUGAGAACCACAGAUCCCCAAGUCAUCUCGCUAUGUAAUACUGCAAUACACCAAUAGUAACAACCUAGAGACAAUAAUAGACAGGGAGUCAGAUUUGAGAUAAUAGCAACAUGGCCAGACUACAUGCACGUGGUGUUUAAAAUGUCUGUUUUGUCACAGAUUGCUGGGAGUUUCUUAACUCAUGCCUAUGAGACUUCAUAGCAAAGCACACAUGUAUAAGUUUUAUAUAUUAAUCAUAUUGACAUCACAAUAGCCAUGCAGCACUCUCUACGCUCCCUAUGUCCUUUCCCAGCAUAUAUGGGAUGCAGCAUAAACCUGGGAUGAAUUUCUGGAGGCUGCUGAUUAUUCUAAAGUCUCGGCCAGGAACAGGGAAAGGAUAGUGCAGUGUCCCUUGACCUAAUGAUGAUACUUCUUAGUAGGGGAAAUAAUGAUAUCUAUUGGACUGUAUUAGCCAGGAAACUGGGUGUGCCUGUGUUUGGAGAGUGAAAAAAUAAAGCAAA